UACAGAGGUCCCAAGCGUUGUUCGGAUUCACUGGGCGUAAAGAGCGUGUAGGCGGCCGUACAGGUCAGCUGUGAAAACUCGAGGCUCAACCUCGAGACGUCGGUGGAAACCGUUUGGCUAGAGUCCGGAAGAGGAGAGUGGAAUUCCCGGUGUAGCGGUGAAAUGCGCAGAUAUCGGGAAGAACACCCGUGGCGAAGGCGGCUCUCUGGGACGGUACUGACGCUGAGACGCGAAAGCGUGGGGAGCGAACAGG
rnacentral:rRNA from 1 species